CAAUAGCGUAUAUUGAAGUUGUUGCAGUUAAAAAGCUCGUAGUUGGAUUUCGGGGCAGCCUGGCUGGUCCGCCGCAAGGCGAGUACUGGUCAGCCGCCCUUCCUCUCGAAAGCCCCGACUGCUCUUCGUUGCAGUGGUCGGGUAGUUCGGGACGUUUACUUUGAAAAAAUUAGAGUGUUCAAGGCAGGCCUACGCCUGAAUACAUUAGCAUGGAAUAAUGGAAGAGGACCUCGGUCCUAUUUUGUUGGUUUCCAGGGCCGAAGUAAUGAUUAAGAGGGACAGUUGGGGGCAUUCGUAUUUAAUUGUCAGAGGUGAAAUUCUCGGAUUUAUGAAAGACGAACAACUGCGAAAGCAUUUGCCAAGGAUGUUUUCAUUAA
rnacentral:rRNA from 1 species